UACGAAGGGUGCUAGCGUUGUUCGGAAUCAUUGGGCGUAAAGGGUGCGUAGGCGGUUUGGUAAGUCAGUUGUGAAAUCCCGGGGCUCAACCUCGGAAUUGCAAUUGAAACUGCUUGACUAGAAUUUGGUGGGGGAUAGUGGAAUUCUUAGUGUAGGGGUGAAAUCCGUAGAUAUUAAGAGGAACACCGGUGGCGAAGGCGACUAUCUACUCCAAUAUUGACGCUGAGGCACGAAAGCGUGGGGAGCAAACAGG
rnacentral:rRNA from 1 species